rnacentral:rRNA from 1 species
UGCAGUCGAGCGGACAGAUGGGAGCUUGCUCCCUGAUGUUAGCGGCGGACGGGUGAGUAACACGUGGGUAACCUGCCUGUAAGACUGGGAUAACUCCGGGAAACCGGGGCUAAUACCGGAUGGUUGUUUGAACCGCAUGGUUCAAACAUAAAAGGUGGCUUCGGCUACCACUUACAGAUGGACCCGCGGCGCAUUAGCUAGUUGGUGAGGUAACGGCUCACCAAGGCAACGAUGCGUAGCCGACCUGAGAGGGUGAUCGGCCACACUGGGACUGAGACACGGCCCAGACUCCUACGGGAGGCAGCAGUAGGGAAUCUUCCGCAAUGGACGAAAGUCUGACGGAGCAACGCCGCGUGAGUGAUGAAGGUUUUCGGAUCGUAAAGCUCUGUUGUUAGGGAAGAACAAGUACCGUUCGAAUAGGGCGGUACCUUGACGGUACCUAACCAGAAAGCCACGGCUAACUACGUGCCAGCAGCCGCGGUAAUACGUAGGUGGCAAGCGUUGUCCGGAAUUAUUGGGCGUAAAGGGCUCGCAGGCGGUUUCUUAAGUCUGAUGUGAAAGCCCCCGGCUCAACCGGGGAGGGUCAUUGGAAACUGGGGAACUUGAGUGCAGAAGAGGAGAGUGGAAUUCCACGUGUAGCGGUGAAAUGCGUAGAGAUGUGGAGGAACACCAGUGGCGAAGGCGACUCUCUGGUCUGUAACUGACGCUGAGGAGCGAAAGCGUGGGGAGCGAACAGGAUUAGAUACCCU